AUUCAAGGGAGGACCCUCCGACAAGAUCUACAUGGAAGUCGAACUCAGAAGAUUGCUAUGGUUGGAGCAACACUUCUCGGAUCUUGGUAAUGCAAGCACGGCACUUUUAGGUGAUGAACCUGCAGGCUCCGUUUCAGCCGGCAUCAAGGCUCUCAAAGCAAUAGAGGGAGUACUUAGCUAAGAGGGUGAGUUCCAAGCUGACAGCGGACGAGAGAGAAAUGAUGUACGCGAAAUGGGAGAUUCCGCCCGGAGGGAAACAGAGGAGGUUGCAGCUGGUGAACAAGUGGUGGACAGACCCCCAUAACAUGCAAAACGUGCGGGAAAGCGCUGAAGUUGUUGCGAAGCUGGUCGGCUUCUGUAAAUCGGGUGAGCACAUUAGCAAGGAGAUGUUUGAACUGAAUUUCGCGCAGCCGUCGGAUAAGAAGACGUGGAUGGGGUGGAACUUGAUAUCAAAUCUUUUGAAUCUGUAAACAAGAACUAAAGUGCUUUCUCUUCACUGUUGUUACAAAUGAAGGUUUUGUUGUAUAA
rnacentral:sRNA from 1 species